rnacentral:rRNA from 1 species
ACGAACGCUGGCGGCGUGCUUAACACAUGCCAGUCGAACGGAAAGGCCCUGCUUUUGUGGGGUGCUCGAGUGGCGAACGGGUGAGUAACACGUGAGUAACCUGCCCUUGACUUUGGGAUAACUUCAGGAAACUGGGGCUAAUACCGGAUAGGAGCUCCUGCUGCAUGGUGGGGGUUGGAAAGUUUCGGCGGUUGGGGAUGGACUCGCGGCUUAUCAGCUUGUUGGUGGGGUAGUGGCUUACCAAGGCUUUGACGGGUAGCCGGCCUGAGAGGGUGACCGGCCACAUUGGGACUGAGAGACGGCCCAGACUCCUACGGGAGGCAGCAGUGGGGAAUAUUGCACAAUGGGCGGAAGCCUGAUGCAGCAACGCCGCGUGCGGGAUGACGGCCUUCGGGUUGUAAACCGCUUUCGCCUGUGACGAAGCGUGAGUGACGGUAAUGGGUAAAGAAGCACCGGCUAACUACGUG